rnacentral:lncRNA from 1 species
CCCACCCCAAGGGAACAAUCAGGGAAGAAGGAACGCAAGACGGUGGAAGCAUGCCAACCUAUUAAACCGCAAGUCAGAGAUCAAACCAUGUACUUGAAUCUCUCAAGUUCCCGGCUUAACCCUCUUCCAAGUAUCCUCAUUUGAAAAUGGAAAAAGAAAAGAAAUGGAGGCAUUGUGUGAUAUUUGCCUAAAUAUAACUAAAGAGAUCCAUUUAUUUUUAGUGUUUGAUUAAAAACCCUCAAAGGAAAAGAGAAAUUUUGAUCUUUGAGAAGAGCUGUUUCAUCACAGGGUGAAGUUGUUUCCUGAGCCCUUUGAUCUGAAAUGACCUUGCGACCUGGAACCAGCAGACAGCCUGAGGGAGGCAGUGCAUGUUCUGAGCCAGGGCCUCAGGAGGCCUGCAGCUGCCAUUCUGCUUCUGUUGGAACAUGACCUCCUUGAGAACACUCCCAGGCCUGACUGCAGGGUGGGGAGACCACACAGAGCAGAGCCGAGCCACCGGGAUGAGGCCCCUAGAUCACCCAGCUCCCAGCUGACCACAGAUCAUGAGUGAUCCCGUUUCUCCCUAGGUCAAGGGUGAUGUUUUGCUCAGAGAAAACUGAAGUUUGGAUUGUUCCAGUCCUGCAUCACAUCCUGUUUCAGGCUGCCCUAAAACAAAACCAGAAACAACCAUCACCACAAAACACCAUACCUUCAAUAGUCUUCUCAGUGUUCAGAAUAAAGGCUCUGGUUUUCCCUUGGGCUCAAUUUU